AGUGAACGCUGGCGGUAGGCCUAACACAUGCAAGUCGAACGGCAGCUCAGGAGAGCUUGCUCUCUGGGUGGCGAGUGGCGGACGGGUGAGGAAUACAUCGGAAUCUACUCUGUCGUGGGGGAUAACGUAGGGAAACUUACGCUAAUACCGCAUACGACCUACGGGUGAAAGCAGGGGACCUUCGGGCCUUGCGCGAUUGAAUGAGCCGAUGUCGGAUUAGCUAGUUGGCGGGGUAAAGGCCCACCAAGGCGACGAUCCGUAGCUGGUCUGAGAGGAUGAUCAGCCAAACUGGAACUGAGACACGGUCCAGACUCCUACGGGAGGCAGCAGUGGGGAAUAUUGGACAAUGGGCGCAAGCCUGAUUCAGCCAUACCGCGUGGGUGAAGAAGGCCUUCGGGUUGUAAAGCCCUUUUGUUGGGAAAGAAAUCCAGCUGGCUAAUACCCGGUUGGGAUGACGGUACCCAAAGAAUAAGCACCGGCUAACUUCGUGCCAGCCGCCGCCGUAA
rnacentral:rRNA from 1 species